UCCAUAAAAUUCUUUUUUAUCCAAAAUAUUCGGAUUUUUUAUUUUUAUUGUUGAAAAAAUACUAUUUUUUUAUUGAAUUAUUGCAAAGUUCUCCUUUUUUUUAUUAAUUACAAAAAAUACUCAUCUUUUUCUCUUCGAAUCAAAUAAUUACCCAAAUGGAAGCAUCCGAAACACUCGUAAGUCUCUGUGCAUCAACUGCAGCAGCUCCGAAAUGACAAGCACCGGUGGCCGCCGCCGCCACCACCGACGGUGCUGCUCCGGCGGCCUCGCGUGCGACUUAUCGGUGUUGUGUGGGCGAAUCGAGUUCCGGGUGGAUCCGCCACUUGGGAACGGCAGCCACGAAAGAUGUCGACAGCUUUUGGCACGUAAACUUAUCCUCCACGCCUAUUACUGGUGAUGGUCAUCGAGAUGGAGUAGAGGAAGGUGAUGAUUUUAAUGCUGUGAAAGGAAGCCUCUGCAACGAGCCUGCAGCAAUCAGGAAGGGCUUAAGACUAGCCAGGAGAGAAGGAAUCACUGACCUUGUGAUGGAAUCGAAUGCUGAGCAAGCCAUCAUUAUCCUCGAUAAGCGCACAAUUUCCCCGUGCCGAGCAACGAAGCUAUCAUUAUCCUCGAUGAGCAUAUAGCUCUGUCGUCAAUUCGACGAAUUGAUGAAUCCUUUGUGAUAUCCUAAAUUGACACUGCAUAGCAUAGAAUGAUGAAGACUAUAAAGAAGUUGAGAAGCUGAUCCAAGCUUCUACCGCACACUGAUGACAGUUUUCCUCGGCUCGAUGAGAUGAACUUAGAAUAGCAUCUGAAUUGUUCUUUCUGUCACUUGAUCACAAAUCUGAAUCAGUUAUGUCUUCCAGAUCUGUAACUUGCAGUCUUUUCUGUGCAGGAAUAGCUUUGGUCCUCCAUCCCCAGUGGCAGGAACAUGCUCAUUGAGUAAAGAUUCUUCCAGGCACAAGAUCUCAUUUUGUGAUGGGAUACGCAAUGCAACAAAAAUGUUUGUGGAAAUGAGAGGUAGCCCACCUCAACAUAUCUAUGCAGCUCGUUCUGGUUUGUCUUCUGUGCAUGCAACUAUUCUAGUUCAGAUUUAGAUGCAGCACCAACCUGGCUAUCACAGAGUGGAUUUAGGGUCUGAGGAUCCAGAUUGACCAAUCCAGGUUUCUGACACCAACUCACAGCAUCCUUUUAAUUCUUUCAGAUCCUGUGUUCAGCAGAUUAUGAUCCAUGACAUACCAAUAAUUGCUUGCUCAAAUUUCUUGGGGGAAGAGACAUGAUCCAAUGCUAAGGAGUGCAGUGACACUGUUGUGUCUUCAGAUUAGUAUUUUUGGGGUGAUAUGGAUUCCAAUACAUUCUUCUCUUUUGGUUUAAGAUCAAGAAAUGUGUGCAAUUUCCAGAGGAUCUGAGUGAUCUGUAAAGCUACUGACCCUUUGUGGUGACAGUCCACCUAUAAAGUUCUGAAAACAAAUCUUAUCUGUCAUAAGCACUGUAAUGUGAGGCCACAUUAAUCUUAAAAGUGGGAUAAAGUAUUGGUCUUUUCAGUGAUCUCAACAGUGACAAGUCCCUGUGAAGGUUGCACUGCUUGCCUCAGAACUGUAAUGUGUGGAGGAUUUUGACAUGCAUCAAGUUGUUGGA